UAGCCAUGUCCAACGGCAACAGCAGCAGUAAUAGUGCUUCGGAUGAGUUGGAUGACACUGCACAGGCCUGGAACACACACACCAUCAGGCCAUCGAAAAACCUUAACGUCCCCAAGGGGUUAAAAAACGACAACACACGCUAUUCAUGUUUUUGUUGAGAAUGGAAGAUUUUUUAUUACUGCAACUAUAUUGCUAUCCCGUAUGUGGAACUCUGAAUAAACAAAAAAUUGAAAAACAAGUUUGGUGCUGUUUCCUGAUAUUUUUAGUCCAUAUUUUUCACUGGCCACAUUAGCUAGAUGAAAAACUUAAUGAAUUAAUAAUUGUACUUGUUCAAGAACAAUUUACUUAAUUAUUCUUGUAAUCAGACUAGUAUUACUUUUCAUACCAUGAAAAGUUCCUGCAGUCUUCUUAAUGUCACAUGAUGUUGCUGUGGUGUCAAGACAGCUGAUUGUAUACAGCAGGGGGUGCGGUCGUCCUGCCGGUUCAAGUAGGAUGACCUGAAACCUGUAUAAAAUCAGCUGUCUUGACACCACAGCAACAUCAUGUGACAUUUAGAAGAAGACUGCAGGAAAAUUAACAAUCAAAACAUGUCAGGGUAUGAAAAGUAAUACUAGUUGUAUAUUAUGUACACUAUCUAUUAUUAUCUACACUAGUAGUUUUUUUCGUCGUCUGAGACGUCUCGCCCUUCCUGACACUCCUCUGGGAUCGAGCUCUUUCAACAACAACCGCACAUCCUCUUUCCUCACACGCAGUCCAUGCUCCCUGCAUUUAGCGUACAUCCAUCGGUGUCCAGAGUACUGCAGUUGGUCGCUAAUAAUAUCCACCAGGACCGACAGGUCAGAGUACGCCUUGCGGCGAGAGUGUCCCCUAUCUCGCAGUAUCCUCUUCAGAUGUCUCUCACUUAUGUGGAAGGCGUGCCUACUGGCAAGUAUUGAUUUGAUGUCCGAAUAUUUGAGGCCAAGCUCAAAAUAAACAUUGAUAAAUCCCCCAAACUCCAUCGUUGUGGUUGUUAGUUUUUUCCUCUGACCCGGAAGUUGAUUUGCGAUGUCUCGCAGUAAUGGUACGGGGCUCCGUACCAUUACUGCUGCGGUUGCCGUUGGACAUGGCUAAAUCUGUUUUGCCUUCCCGCGUGAGAGUCAGGUAUCUAACGAGAAUGACGCGACC